AAUAACAUGCUUGAAGACAAAUAUAACAUUUCAGGUUCUGCUAUGAAAAGUAAUAGCGAAAUUCAUGCAAUCAUCCAAAUCAGUCAGUAACUUUCCAAGGCAGCACUGGGAGAAACACAUUAAAAAAAUGUAGAAGAGGAUGGUUUGCAACUUGGUGGGUGGCCCUAAUGCCAGGAUCCCACUGGAGCAUCUGAAUCACGGGAGGCCAUUCCUCACUCCCAUGACACUUGGCUGAGUUAAGCUGAACUGGCUGUUACGAGCGUGACCCACGUUGCUUCCUCCAGGAACGAGGAGCUCGCCUUGCCAAGAGGAGCUCUCCUCACUGUGCAUCUCUCCAAAAUGGGACAAAUCCGUGUCAGGUAGCCCAGCAGCUGCAACAGGAGCUGAGCACGUCAAAGGGCUAGAGACCCACUUUCUAUCUGAGAGCAACAAGACCUUUUAACCACUUCUUAUUUUAUGGAUAAACUUACAAUGAUUCCUCAAAGCUAUUUGCCAGAAGAAAUGAAAUACUAAAGAAGAGCUAAGAGGCAGAAGCAAACCUGCAUUCUUUUAGGUUUCUGAACUACUCUGUUCAGAUAAAACAUCUGCUUAAGUGCCUGCUUGUUAUAUCAUUAUGCUCAACUUUUUUUCUGACUGUUAUUCAUCAUGAGAAAGAAUUCUAAACAUGGUAGCACACCACGGGUGUUCUCACUUGUGCCAAAUGUACUAUGCUACCACAGCCAGUCAUAACAAGGCAUUAUUUCUAAUGGAAAAGGUGGUUUAUGUCUCUAGCAAAACAAUAUUAUUUUUAUCUGGUCACAAUGACACAUCUGUUGUAUGCCUUGAUUUUAACAGCAAAAGCAUUAGUUUGUAUUGAAUUUUCAAUUUUGCUAUUUUAUCUUGUUUCUCUUCUCUGUAUUGUUUGUGUAAUAAACCCCCUCUUGUUUGAGGGAAACCUCUUUUGUAUUUAGUCAGGAGGGUGUGCUAGCAAGCUGUCUUUCAACUGGCAGAAUCAAAUAUAGUAUAUGCCAUAAAAUGACAAUCAAGUAUCAUCUGAGAAGACAGAAGCAUGUUUAUUUCCUCUCCUAUCCAGAGAAUCAAAA